CAGACCGAACUGAUUACAUCAGACUUUGCACCAUCUUUCAACUCGGCCAAAAUUCUUACCCAAGGACAUCUGAAAAGGAAUCUCUCAGUUUUAAAUAACGGAUUAUUGACACACAGGUCCAGGCCAAUAAAAUAACGUAUUAGUUGUUGAUCACUGAUGAAGUAAAAACAGCAGUGGACUUGGAUUUUUGGACUCAAAAGUACAUAACUUCACUGGCAAGACUCCACUCGAAAUGAUUCACUAAUACGAACGGUCCUUUGCGCUCACGCAUAUAACUGUGCACGGAAAGAAGAAACGCAUCGACUGGGAGAGCCAGCGUACGGAAAGACGGGCAGGGAAGAACCUUCAGCCGACGGCAGCCAUCGAUCAAACUGAACCCUGAGCUCCAAAGGGGGGGAGGGGGAGGAUACAUGUGCCUGCUGAUUCAUUUUAGCUUCACACACUCGCACAGACCAUCUGCACGUGAGAAAGUACACUCGGUCCUGUGCUUGGCUCCAUCAGAAACCCAACUGGAGCAAAAGGAAACUGGGACGUGUCCCAGUGUCCACGAAAAGAGCAAGUCUUGACCCAAAUCAAGUGUUUGGAUGACGCACUAGCGAGUCAAGCGGGCUCUUUAACAGGAGAGGAGGAGUGUGGACCAUCACGCCCAUUACCUAACUCACAGAAACACUCGAACACUUUCACAACUUCUCACAACUGUGGAGUUGUUUCACUCCUCGGUCCUGUCUGGAGCAUUCGUUCAUCCAUUAAAUCUAUCAGGCUGAAUUCAUAUACAGUACCUUCCGACCUACCCAGACAUCCACUAAACCAUCUGCAGGAUGAAACCCACCAUCCAUCGGAUCCACCUAUAGGAUCCAUCCACCCAUCCGUUAGUGCAUGUAUAGGAUCCAUCAAUCAUCUACAGGAUGCUUCCAUUCAUCCGCCCAUCCACAGGGUCCACCACGGUUGUAAGGAGUCAUCAAGUGAGUUUUUACAUACUUCCUGGCAGCUCAAACCUGGCAGUUUUCCUCUGAACUCUCUAAACAACAAGGCGUUGACAACCACAGAAUUGUCACUCACCGUGUUUUUUGUUUUUCGCACCAUUCAGUGUAACCUCUAGCGACUGCCGUGUAUGAAAUUCCCAGGUCAGCAGUUUCCGAAAUAUUCAAAACAAGCCCAUCUGGUAUCGACACCGUGCCAUGUUUAAAGUCACACAUUCUGAUGUUUGAUGUCAAGGGGUGGGAUACAUUAGGCAGCAAGUGAACAGUCAGUUAUCAAAAGUUCAAGUGUUGCAAGCAGGGAAAAUGGGCAAUCAUCCAAAUACAUGCAUUCAUGAUAACACUGUUCCCUAGUGG